rnacentral:rRNA from 1 species
CACGUAGGGCGCGAGCGUUGUCCGGAAUUAUUGGGCGUAAAGAGCUCGUAGGCGGCCUGUUGCGUCCGCUGUGAAAGCCCGGGGCUUAACCCCGGGUCGGCAGUGGAUACGGGCAGGCUAGAGGUAGGUAGGGGAGAAUGGAAUUCCCGGUGUAGCGGUGAAAUGCGCAGAUAUCGGGAGGAACACCGGUGGCGAAGGCGGCGAUCUGGGUAGAUACUGACGCUGAGGUGCGAAAGCGUGGGGAGCAAACGGG